rnacentral:lncRNA from 1 species
AGUCCGGCGCCGGAUCGCGGUUGCCCAGCGCGCUGUGCCCUGCCGGGGGCGGGCCACGUUUGAUCUCCGGGCCCGCAGCAAGGGAUCGCGAAGGAUGCUUCCUGCCCUCAAACAUUGGACUCCCAGUUCUACAGUUUUGAGACUGGGACUGGCUCUCCUUGUUCCUCAAGCUUGCAGACAGCCUAUUGUGGGAUCUUGUGAUCGUACUCUCUGUGGCCCAGGCUGGAGUGCACUGGUGCCAUCUCGGCUCACUGCAACCUCUGCCUCCCGAGUUCAAGUGAUUCUCCUGCCUCAGCCUCCCGAGUAGCUGGGACUACACGUGCCUGCCACCACGCCUGGCUAAUUUUUGUAUUUUCAGUAGAGACGGGGGUUUCACCAUAUUGGCCCGGCUGGUCUCGAACUCUUGACCUUGUGAUCCACCCACCUCAGCCUCCCAAAGUGCUGGGAUUACAGGCAUUAGUCACCGUGCCUGGCCCAUAUCUAUUCUUUGGUAAAAUUUUUAUUCAAUUAUUUUUCCUAUUUUAGAAUUGAGUUGUUUACACACAUAUACAUUGUAUUUUCCUCUGGAUACAGAUAUGUCUUUUGCAAAUAUUUUCUUCCAGCCUAGACCUCAUCAUUUCAGUUUUUAAAUAAUGUGUUUUUUUUUUUUAAAAUAAAGCUUUGUAUUAGUCCAUCUUCACACUGCUGUAAAGAUACUACCAGCGACUGGGUAAUUAAUAAAGGAAAGCGGUUUAAUUGA